rnacentral:lncRNA from 1 species
GAUCUGCAGCGUCACAAUCUAACAACUUAUCUACAGAAACAUCAUCAUCUAAUUCAGGCAUCAAUUUGGCAUGUGCAGAACUGAAUACAUCAGCUUUGGAUUCAGAUUAUCUAAAAAAUCCUGAGCAAAGUAAGCAAAGACGUAAACGAGUUUUUGCUGACUAGGUUGAUUCUGAUGAUGAUGAAUUUAUUGAACCAUUACCCAGUGAUUUUCCACAGCCAGUAGUCAAAAACGUUUUGCAAAAAGUUAACACUGAAAAAUCACCAAGUCUUAUGUCAACAAAAAAUACAUCUACAGCAUCACAGUCUAACAACUUGUCUACAGUAAUUUCCUCAUCUAACUCAGCUCUGCCUUUAAUUCUCUCUAAACUAGCCGCUAUACAGCAUGAAGUGAGUCAUAUUGUUCUGGUUCAAAAUAAUAUUUUUAAUGCAUUGCAAUCACUAAUUGUUGUGCAAAAAAAGUUCUUCCUGACGGUCUUAUAUUGCCGAAUGCGACCUUACUGGAUCUCAAUAAUGUUGAGAUCAAGUUAAAAAAUAAAGAAACUGUUCAAACUGUUAGUAACUACCUGGGAGUGACUGGAGGCACUGAUGUGUUCAGUACGGCACGUCGAAUUUUAGCUAAAGUUUAAUACAAACGAACUUGCUUCAAAGCUAAAUUGGGCUGGGCGUGGCCGAAAAAUGGGUGUCAAAAACCUUAACAUUGUUGUUUGCGUCAAAGAUAAGAUUUAUUUAAACUUAUUUAAACAAACUUGUGUAGUAGUGGUGUAUUUUUAAAAAUUGAGCAAUUUUGUUAAUGUUUCUUUUUUUUUUUUAGUUGCUGUUUAUUUGCACAAAGCUAUAAAAACAACCGAUGGCGUUAUAGAGCAAAGCAUAAAGUCCUGGCUAAGAUAUGCCUUAGAUCGUUCUGGCGGGCGGAAUGCUGCAGAAAGAGAGGCAAAAAGAAUUUUGUCAAGUCAUGUUGAAACAAGUGAGACAGAACAACUGAUGAUUACGAUAAUGCUAGUGCUAGUCGUCAAUAGCCAUUACACAUCAGUACACAUCACAUCUACACUGACCUUUAGAAAUUUUUAUUAACAAGUUUACCAGUUUUUUUUAUUGUAAAUUUUAAAUUAUGAAGAUAA